rnacentral:rRNA from 1 species
UCCAGAGUUUGAUCCUGGCUCAGGAUGAACGCUGGCGGCGUGCUUAACACAUGCAAGUCGAACGAUGAAGCCCAGCUUGCUGGGUGGAUUAGUGGCGAACGGGUGAGUAACACGUGAGUAACCUGCCCUUAACUCUGGGAUAAGCCUGGGAAACUGGGUCUAAUACCGGAUAGGAGCGUCCACCGCAUGGUGGGUGUUGGAAAGAUUUAUCGGUUUUGGAUGGACUCGCGGCCUAUCAGCUUGUUGGUGAGGUAAUGGCUCACCAAGGCGACGACGGGUAGCCGGCCUGAGAGGGUGACCGGCCACAUUGGGACUGAGACACGGCCCAGACUCCUACGGGAGGCAGCAGUGGGGAAUAUUGCACAAUGGGCGAAAGCCUGAUGCAGCGACGCCGCGUGAGGGAUGAGCGGCCUUCGGGUUGUAAACCUCUUUCAGUAGGGAAGAAGCGAAAGUGACGGUACCUGCAGAAGAAGCACCGGCUAACUACGUGCCAGCAGCCGCGGUAAUACGUAGGGUGCGAGCGUUAUCCGGAAUUAUUGGGCGUAAAGAGCUCGUAGGCGGUUUGUCGCGUCUGUCGUGAAAGUCCGGGGCUUAACCCCGGAUCUGCGGUGGGUACGGGCAGACUAGAGUGCAGUAGGGGAGACUGGAAUUCCUGGUGUAGCGGUGGAAUGCGCAGAUAUCAGGAGGAACACCGAUGGCGAAGGCAGGUCUCUGGGCUGUAACUGACGCUGAGGAGCGAAAGCAUGGGGAGCGAACAGGAUUAGAUACCCUGGUAGUCCAUGCCGUAAACGUUGGGCACUAGGUGUGGGGACCAUUCCACGGUUCCGCGCCGCAGCUAACGCAUUAAGUGCCCCGCCUGGGGAGUACGGCCGCAAGGCUAAAACUCAAAGGAAUUGACGGGGGCCCGCACAAGCGGCGGAGCAUGCGGAUUAAUUCGAUGCAACGCGAAGAACCUUACCAAGGCUUGACAUGUUCUCGAUCGCCGUAGAGAUACGGUUUCCCCUUUGGGGUGGGUUCACAGGUGGUGCAUGGUUGUCGUCAGCUCGUGUCGUGAGAUGUUGGGUUAAGUCCCGCAACGAGCGCAACCCUCGUUCCAUGUUGCCAGCACGUCGUGGUGGGGACUCAUGGGAGACUGCCGGGGUCAACUCGGAGGAAGGUGAGGACGACGUCAAAUCAUCAUGCCCCUUAUGUCUUGGGCUUCACGCAUGCUACAAUGGCCGGUACAAUGGGUUGCGAUACUGUGAGGUGGAGCUAAUCCCAAAAAGCCGGUCUCAGUUCGGAUUGGGGUCUGCAACUCGACCCCAUGAAGUCGGAGUCGCUAGUAAUCGCAGAUCAGCAACGCUGCGGUGAAUACGUUCCCGGGCCUUGUACACACCGCCCGUCAAGUCACGAAAGUUGGUAACACCCGAAGCCGGUGGCCUAACCCUUG